rnacentral:rRNA from 1 species
UACAGAGGGUGCAAGCGUUAAUCGGAAUUACUGGGCGUAAAGCGCGCGUAGGUGGCUUGGUAAGUUGAAUGUGAAAUCCCCGGGCUCAACCUGGGAACUGCAUCCAAAACUGCCUGGCUAGAGUACGGUAGAGGGUGGUGGAAUUUCCUGUGUAGCGGUGAAAUGCGUAGAUAUAGGAAGGAACACCAGUGGCGAAGGCGACCACCUGGACUGAUACUGACACUGAGGUG